AACUUUCAACAAAGGAUCUCUUGGCUCUCACAUCGAUGAAGAACGCAGCGAAGCGCGAAAUGUAGUGUGAAUCGCAGAACUUGUGAAUCAUCGAAUCUUUGAACGCACAUUGCGCCUCCAGUAACUUGGAGGCAUGCCUGUCUGAGCGUCAUUU
rnacentral:rRNA from 1 species